rnacentral:rRNA from 1 species
CCUACGGGAGGCAGCAGUGAGGAAUAUUGGUCAAUGGACGAGAGUCUGAACCAGCCAAGUAGCGUGAAGGAUGACUGCCCUAUGGGUUGUAAACUUCUUUUAUAAAGGAAUAAAACGAGGCACGUGUGCCUUUUUGCAUGUACUUUAUGAAUAAGGAUCGGCUAACUCCGUGCCAGCAGCCGCGGUAAUACGGAGGAUCCGAGCGUUAUCCGGAUUUAUUGGGUUUAAAGGGAGCGUAGAUGGGUUGUUAAGUCAGUGGUGAAAUUUUGCGGCUCAACCGUAAAAUUGCAAUUGAUACUGGCAGUCUUGAGUACAGUUGAGGUAGGCGGAAUUCGUGGUGUAGCGGUGAAAUGCUUAGAUAUCACGAAGAACCCCGAUGGCGAAGGCAGCUUACUAAACUGUGACUGACAUUGAUGCUCGAAAGUGUGGGUAUCAAACAGGAUUAGAUACCCCUGUAGUC